AGUGAACGCUGGCGGUAGGCCUAACACAUGCAAGUCGAACGGCAGCACAGAGGAGCUUGCUCCUUGGGUGGCGAGUGGCGGACGGGUGAGGAAUACAUCGGAAUCUACUCUGUCGUGGGGGAUAACGUAGGGAAACUUACGCUAAUACCGCAUACGACCUACGGGUGAAAGCAGGGGAUAUUCGGACCUUUCGCGAUUGAAUGAGCCGAUGUCGGAUUAGCUAGUUGGCGGGGUAAAGGCCCACCAAGGCGACGAUCCGUAGCUGGUCUGAGAGGAUGAUCAGCCACACUGGAACUGAGACACGGUCCAGACUCCUACGGGAGGCAGCAGUGGGGAAUAUUGGACAAUGGGCGCAAGCCUGAUCCAGCCAUACCGCGUGGGUGAAGAAGGCCUUCGGGUUGUAAAGCCCUUUUGUUGGGAAAGAAAUCCAUCUGGUUAAUACCCGGGUGGGAUGACGGUACCCAAAGAAUAAGCACCGGCUAACUUCGUGCCAGCAGCCGCCGUAA
rnacentral:rRNA from 1 species